UCCCUGGUAGCUCAGAUGGUAAAGAAUCUGCCUGCAAUGCAGGAGACCUGGGUUCAAUCCCUGAUUUGGGAA
rnacentral:tRNA from 1 species